GCUAAUACGUGACACAAAGCCUGGCUUUACGGCCAGGCGCGCAAGGCAUAGCAUGAAUGCUUCCUUGCAUGGCAGGCGCUUCGGUGCCUGCCGGCAGACCUCAAGAGGUUUAGGUGCAGCGCUAGGCGUUGCACUGACUAGAGGCUGAGCAGACAGCUUUCUAAUCCAUUAGCUUGUUGUGGAGGUAGCGGCUUCACAAGGCAGCCAUGGAUACGGGGAAUCAGCGUUCGGUUCCGGAGAGAAAGCCUUAAACACGGCUAUCACAUCUAAGGAAGGCAGCAGGCGCGCAAAUUGCCCAAUGCAGACUCUGCGAGGCAGUGAACAGCCAUAGCGACCUUGGCACUACGUGCCAAGGGAGGCCUUAGGCCUAACAAUGAAUGGCGCUUAACAAACGUCAUGAUAAACUAGUAGAGGAAAAGUCUGGUGCCAGCACCCGCGGUAACUCCAGCUCUGCAAGUCUAUGAUAAUACUGUUGUCUUUAAAACGUCCGUAGCCCGCUUAAGCUGGUCUAGCUAAGCGCCGUGCAGCUGCUGCCGUAGACCAGGCUCUUUAUAGAACCUGGUUGAAAGCUUAGCAGCUGUACCUUGGCAGCUAGCCUUUCGAGGCGAACUGUGGUGUGAAGCUAGGCUAGUGAAUGCGACAUCGCUAGCAAAUGGAUAUGCUCAAGGUAAGCAAAGGUGAUUUCACCCUAGCUUGCACUUCAUAGAGUGACACGUCAUUAGAGCAGGCUUUCUUAACAGGAAGCAGGCGUGCACAACGAGGAGGUCUCAGGCAAGGAGUAUUGGUAGGAUAGGGGUGAAAUCCAGUGACCCUACCAAGACUACAUGAGGCGAAAGCGCCUUGCUAGAGCCUGCCUGUCGGCGAUGGACGAGAGUGAAGGGCGCGAAGAUGAUUAGAUACCGUUGUAGUCUUCACCAUAAACUAUGCCAGCUCGGUAGGGCAGCCUCACCUUUGUGAAGGCUGCCUGACCUUAGGGAAACCCUUAAGCUCUUCGGCUAGAGGGGUAGUACUGUCGCAAGGCAGAAACUUAAAGGAAUUGACGGAAAAGCACCACCAGGCGUGGAGUCUGCGGCUUAAUUCGACUCAACACGGGGAACCUUACCAGGACAGGACAUUGAGUGGAUUGUCAGCUUAAAGAGCUUACCUGAUACUGUGGAUAGUGGUGCAUGGCCAUUCUUAGUUCGUGAAGUGAUUUGUCUCCUUAAUUGAGGUAACGAGCGUGACCCUGAAGGAUUGUUGAGCGCUGUUAGCUACGCUAGCAGCUGUCUGCUUAGGCAGCGUCUCCUAUCCUGAUCACUGGCGCCUAGCCAGGCGAGACAGGACAAUAAUAGGUCUGUUAUGCCCUUAGAUGCCCUGGGAUGCACGCGUACUACACUGAUGCUCUCAACGAGUAGACUAGCUGCCAAGGCUUGCUUUGGCAGCUUGGCUGUGCCUAAAGGCACGGCGAAGCUAUAAUGGGUAUCUCGGUAAGGAUUGCUGCCUGCAAGGGCAGCAUGAAUGAGGAAUGCCUUGUAAGCGCACUUCAGCAUAGUGCACUGAAUACGUCCCUGCUUUUUGUACACACCGCCCGUCGCAUCAAGGAACUUAACUGAGGCAAUGAGCCUGCUGGACGCAAGGAAGGCAGGCGAAU
rnacentral:rRNA from 1 species